CUACGGGUGGCUGCAGUGGGGAAUAUUGCACAAUGGACGAAAGUCUGAUGCAGCAACGCCGCGUGGAGGAUGACACAUUUCGGUGCGUAAACUCCUUUUAUAUAGGAAGAUAAUGACGGUACUAUAUGAAUAAGCACCGGCUAACUCCGUGCCAGCAGCCGCGGUAAUACGGAGGGUGCAAGCGUUACUCGGAAUCACUGGGCGUAAAGAGCGUGUAGGCGGAUAGAUAAGUCAGGAGUGAAAUCCUAUGGCUCAACCAUAGAACUGCUCUUGAAACUGUCAAUCUAGAGUGUGGGAGAGGUAGAUGGAAUUUCUGGUGUAGGGGUAAAAUCCGUAGAGAUCAGAAGGAAUACCGAUUGCGAAGGCGAUCUACUGGAACAUAACUGACGCUGAGACGCGAAAGCGUGGGGAGCAAACAGGAUUAGAUACCCUAGUAGUC
rnacentral:rRNA from 1 species